GCUCCCAGACAUGACAGCCAUCAUCAAAGAGAUCGUUAGCAGAAACAAAAGGAGAUAUCAAGAGGAUGGAUUCGACUUAGACUUGACCUAUAUUUAUUGCUAAACAUUAUUGCUAUGGAUUUCCUGCAGAAAGACUUGAAGGUGUAUACAGGAACAAUAUCAAUGGUGUAGUAAGGUUUUGGGGUUCAAAGCAUAAAAACCAUUACAAGAUAUACAAUCUAUGUGCUAAAAGACAUUAUGAUACCGCCAAAUUUAACUGCAGAGUUGCACAAUAUCCUUUUGAAGACCAUAACCCACCAUAGCUAGAACUUAUCAAACCCUUUUGUGAAGAUCUUGAUCAAUGGCUACGUGAGGAUGACAACCAUGUUGCAGCAAUUCACUGUAAAGCUGGAAAGGGAUGAACCGGUGUAAUGAUUUGCACAUGUCUAUUACAACAGGGCAAAUAUUUGAAGGCACGGGAGGCCCUAGAUUUCUAUGGGGAAGUAAAGACCAGAGACAUAAAGGGAGUAACUAUUCCCAGUCAGAGGCGCUAUGUGUAUUAUUAUAGCUACCUGUUAAAGAAUCAUCUGGAUUAUAGACCAGAGGCACUGUUGUUUCACAAAAUGAUGUUUGAAACUCUUCCAAUGUUCAGUGGCAGAACUUCCAAUCCUUAAUUUGUGUUCUGCCAGCUAAAGGUGAAGAUAUAGUCCUCCAAUUCAAGACCCACACAACGGGAAGACAAGUUCAUGUACUUUGAGUUCCCUCAGUGGUUGCCUGUGUGUGGUGACAUCAAAGUAGAGUUCUUCCACAAACAGAACAAGAUGCUAAAAAAGGACAAAAUGUUUCACUUUUGGGUAAAUACAUUCUUCAUACCAGGACCAGAGGAAACCUCAGAAAAAGUAGAAUGUCUCUGAAAAAGUGGGUGUCUCUGUGAUCAGGAAAUUGAUAGCAUUUGCAGUAUACAAUAUAAAAUUAAAAUGCCAGAGCUGGAUCAUCUGGAUAAGAAGAAGGUAAUUAGCUCUAUUGCUGAAGAGGAAAUGAGAGCAGCAAUAGAGAAAUUUGCAAAUGGCAAGCCCCCUGUGGUGCAGAGUACCAAAUACAAUAGGGUGAAGCUUGGAGGGAGAAUCAAAAGAUCUGCCAUGCAGGAUUUAUGA